rnacentral:rRNA from 1 species
UUCGCAAUGCCCGAAAGGGUGACGAAGCGACGCCGCGUGGGUGAGGAAGGCCCUCGGGUUGUAAAACCCUGUCAGGAGUUAAGAAAUAUAAGUGCGCUAAUAUCGCAUUUAUUUGACGAAGGCUCCAAAGGAAGCCACGGCUAACUCUGUGCCAGCAGCCGCGGUAAUACAGAGGUGGCAAGCGUUGUUCGGAAUUAUUGGGCGUAAAGAGCACGUAGGUGGGUUUGCAAGUCAGAUGUGAAAGCCUUCUGUUCAACGGAAGAAUUGCAUCUGAAACUGCGAGUCUUGAGUGUAGGAGGGGAGAAUGGAACUUCUGGUGGAGCGGUGAAAUGCGUAGAUAUCAGAAGGAACGCCGGCGGCGAAAGCGAUUCUCUGGCCUAUUACUGACACUCAGUGUGCGAAAGCUAGGGGAGCAAACGGGAUUAGAUACCCCGGUAGUCCUGGCCGUAAACGAUGGGCACUAAGUAGAGGGGUUUU